CGGCCCGCCCGGCCUCGCAGCCGGGCCCCCGCCGCCCCCUUCCCUGCCCCGGGCCCCUGAGGGGGUUUUGGGGCGCCCCGGGGGGGGGGCGAGCUGCUCGACGACCCCCUCCUCGGGCAGGGCACGGGGCACGGGCACGGCCCCUCUUCGGGGACCCGAGAGGGUCCGUGUGUGGGGACCCCGCUGGCACCACGGGAAAGCGGGGCGCAGCGGGGUUUUUCCACAAGAACCUGUGGAAAUGGGGCUUCGUGCCAAAGCGGGGCGCGGGCUGCAGCCCGAUGGAUGGACCAAAGUGCUGGCCAUGGACGGAGGGGCGGUACAUGGGGUGAAGGGAGGUGGAAAUGCCUCAGCACGAACACCUGGCCUUGUGGUGUUAGCUGGGUCUGAAUUUCUGAGGCCACUGGUAGUGCCGGGGCUGGCAGGCAGGACCUCGCAAGGCAGAGACUGUCCCGGGUGUGCUCUGUGACCGUGCCUAAAAUACAGAAAUCUCCUCUUACAGCGAGUGACACCAGCUGUCAAGAGCUUUUCCUUGAGUUUUGAGGUUGUUUGUAACCAAAAGUGACGCUGCUGGCUUUAGAAAUCCCAUUUUGCUCUGUAACCAAGUGCUUGCCCACAAGCUGUCCACUCGCCCUGCUUUCUGCUGUGCCCUGAACACAGGCAGGCACCGUGGGAGAUGCUGGCGUGUUCCCUCGUCCUUCACUGGGACCAAGCAUCCUGCUGGAAGGGGCAAACUCUAGAAAAGAGUUAUCCUGGAUCAGGUCAGAGCUGUGCACUUUCACUGUGCUCACUCUGGCUCUGCUGCCUUGCUCUGUUUUCUUUUUAGGACUACUGCUACUAAUUCUGCUUUUAAAAGCACCCUCCCCAGCAAGUUCUGCUUCUGUCUGAGCGUGGUUCUGGCCUAUAAAUCUAGCCUGAAGAGAUGUCUAAUUAUUUCACUGCUGAUGCUGAGCAGCGUGGUUCUCAUUGUCCUGUAUUUUUCCUUUUUUAAACUCACCUUCACAACAUGCAUCUUUGUUUUGGAGUGAAUUGAUUGCCUUGACCCAGCUCUGGCAGAGUUAUGGCUAACUCAGCCAGCCUCUAGUUUGCAGAAGCAUCUUAAAAUCAGGCUCAUCCUGAGCCACCCUGAUACAACCACCACAAUAAGCAAAAACGAGUGGCAAAUGAUAAAUACAUUUUAAAAGAUUAAUCGAUUUCUGGCCUCUUGUUGCCUGAUCUGCUCAAGCAGUGCUAUGCAAGGAGGCUAUCUGUUUCCAGAGGUACAAAUGACUCUACCAUGCUUGGGAACACUCUGCCAGAAGGCAUCUCCUAGCUCCUGUGCUCUCUCCCUGCUAACAUGGGCAGUCACCUCAUGUAAGCGUGAUUAGCCAUUGUGCUGGAUUAUAUAGGUCACCAUGAGCAUUUUUUUUCCCCCUGUGUAAUCUAAGAACUGAAUAUGAAGCACAAGUUAAAGGAUUAAUCCUCCAUUACAUGUUGGCAUUUGGUCUAUAAAAGCAUAUUUCUUCAAGUUAGCCCUUAUACAUGGAGAUGGGUAAGGGUGACAAUCAAAAAGCAUCUCUUAGACUAGAACGAGAGAAUGUUACCAUAGGAGCAUGAGGGAAGAGAGACAUUUUUACAGCUACCUGCUUAGAUCAGAUAGAAGUUGUGUGUAAAGACGAGGCCUGGGUAAUCCCGGCAGACAGUGAGAGACCAGUCCUUAUCUCUUCAUGGAAAGGUGACGAGAGUGACAGAGUCACAGGGAUUUGUGGGGGUACGGAUGUGAAAACUGCAACCAGCUAUGGCUUUCCAGCUACAAAAGUACCUUUCUGCAGGUAGAGCAGCAGGUCUAUCGCAUUGGGAAGCUUAUCAAGUUAGCAGAAGGGCAUGUUUUCUCUCCCAUCACAGGCAGCACAAAAUGAUCUCGGCAUGGACACUGGAGUCUUAACGCUCUAUACAAAGGCACACCUUUUACAACCGAAUACAGAGGAUCUGAUGAAAUGUUAACUUUUAUAUCAAACUUGCUUUCACUAUUUGAAAAUGUAAACUGCAAAGGAGCAGUGUGCAUCAGCUAAGCAAAUAAGAAAUAAAUCUAUCAGGAAUCUUUGCUUUUUCCUGAUG
rnacentral:lncRNA from 1 species